UGUGGAAUAUUGGACAAUGGGUGGAAGCCUGAUCCAGCCAUCCCGCGUGUAGGAUGACGGCCUUAUGGGUUGUAAACUACUUUUAUCUGGGGAUAAACCUACUUACGUGUAAGUAGCUGAAGGUACCAGAAGAAUAAGCACCGGCUAACUCCGUGCCAGCAGCCGCGGUAAUACGGAGGGUGCAAGCGUUAUCCGGAUUUAUUGGGUUUAAAGGGUCCGUAGGCGGACUGAUCAGUCAGUGGUGAAAUCCUAUCGCUUAACGAUAGAACUGCCAUUGAUACUGUUAGUCUUGAAUUAGUUUGAAGUGGCUGGAAUGUGUAGUGUAGCGGUGAAAUGCUUAGAUAUUACGCAGAACACCAAUUGCGAAGGCAGGUCACUAAGUCUAUAUUGACGCUGAUGGACGAAAGCGUGGGGAGCGAACA
rnacentral:rRNA from 1 species